UCUGAGUGCACAGGUCAGCUAUUAGUCACAGGGACUACAACACAAGUCAGGGGACAGAGAAACAACAGAACCACAGCAUCUCCAAAGGUUACACAAUGAAACCAACAGCUAAGAGAGGCUGAAAUGUCCUCUGCUUUGACUGAACAAUUUUAGUCCCUACUGACACAAAGCCUCUGUCCCUGGAUAUGGAUAUGAAUUGGUAGCAUAUAUCUUUGAGAUAUUAUAUUGCAUCAUAUUGAUAUUGGCAUGCUUUUGGAAUUAUUUUGAAUCUAACCUGAAUUAAACUGACACUAUGCUGAAGGGGAGGAAACACAGUUUUUACUACAAACACUGAUUUCAGGGUGGUGUCAUUAAAUUCAUACUUGAGUGCCUGCCAGAGCACCUCUUAAAGUGUAUGAUUUCUUAGAAGAAAUAAUACGACAAAAGAAAGAAUAAAUACAUCUCUAUUAAUUAACUUAAAUUACAAAUUUCACCAGUUGUUUCCAAACCAAGUAAAGUAGGGCAACAAUCACACUACAACCUUAUUCUCUUCAUGUCACGUUACCAUCAAUAAACUAGGGAUGUCCCGAUUCGAUUAUGUGAUCGGAAAGUGGACCGUUACAUAGUUUCAGACUUACUCAGAAUCGGGUGUUAUGUCCUGAUCAGUGAUCAGGUCUACAUAUAUAUUUAUUCUAAACCCAAAUAGCAAAAAUAACAGUAUCUACCAUUAUGUGGUGGUACAGAGUUAGUCUUGAAACAACACAUUCCCACUGUCUGCCUUUGGUGACAGCCAUCACUUUGCAGGAGUGACGACUGGUGCCUCGACACCAGCGUGAAAUGGGAGCAGCUGUUGUCAAUAUAUUUCAUGACUUUUCCAGACGCUUCUAACAGCUUUUUUUUUUUUUAAAGCAACUAGCAACAAAGCAACUUCUCUGGUAUACUAGAGAAUUUACAGACAAAAUGGGAAACCACCAAUAGUACUACAGUUACAGCGAGCAGUGAGAGAUGCUAUGAGCCCCUCCCAUCUCUGAAGCUCUUGCAAGCGGUCAAUCAAAUCAGGGUUGUUGUGCAUCAGAUUGCAGUAGAAAAUAAAGCACUGACUUCAAAGACAUUGGUCUUUAAGAGCAAGAAUACUGUUAUAUAAAGAUGAAGGUAUAUCCACAUUAACUUAUGCUGAACUUGCAUUAAUUGUAAAUACCUCUAUCUGUAAAACUAUUGAUAAAAUGCUCUACAAAUUUACUUGAAAGAAUAAAACACAUUGCAUCAAAGAUUCUGUGCUUGUAAACCAUAUGGGAAAAAAGCCCCUAAAACUAGCCAAUUGUCACAAACAGAUGUUCCUUGGUCUUUAAUUUAUAAACAUUCUUUCUCCCCGCUCACGUUUCUCAUCUGGAAUAAUCUUAAUAUUCUUUACAAAAAUCAAUCACAGCCAAUAAUAAAUACAGAGAUGAUGCAUUUUGGAAUUCAAGAGGCUGGGCCAGAUCAGGUUCUGUGAUGAAGGUUCUUCACGAGCAGGUACUGCUGUAUUUGGACCCUGAGAUGGGUCCAAAAUUCUACUGUGCAAAACAUGAAUGAGCCCAAGACAAGAUGUGAAAAAAGUCAAAAUAAUGUUUGUUUGGCAAUGAUCAUGGCAUGAUUAUGAGGCAACAUUCUACCAACAAGAGGGACCAAUGAGCAAUGAAUGACUGCUUAGCCGCUCCUUAAAACUCCCAAAGAUGCGUCAGUGUGUCAGAACCCUCCAGUGAAGAUCUUUUCUGUGAGGAGAGCACUUACGCAACACACAAACCUGAAUUCUAACUGUAUCAGUAAUGCUGCUCCAUCCUGUUUGACCAUUUGGUCAAACCCACCAUGAGGGCUCGGUGGACGCAAACCCAGAAAGGAUCUAUGGACUUAUUGUAAGUAGGUUAUAACCCUUUUGAGAGAAGAACUGGAUUGUCAAGGGAGGCCAUGGUACAUGUAGAUUUAAACUUGGCAGACAAAACACCAUUAAUCUUAAACACCACCUGAUAUUUUUUCCAAAGGUAAGCUACUCUUACUGGAAACACUGAUUUUGGGUGAUGACACUAAAUUCCUACUGAAGUGUCUGCCAGAGAACCUCUUAGAGCGCUCCAGAGAAACGGUAGGGAAAGUAAUUGUGAAGCUGAUCUUGGAUUGCUGCAGUACUUUAUUGUAUUCACACAAGUUUAUGGUUUCUUUGAAGAAAUAACAGAUACGACAAAACUACGAAUAAAUAUGUAAAUAAACUAUAAUUAUGAAUAAACCUAAAGUUCAACUUUCACCAGUUGUUUCCAAACAAAAUAAACAAGCUUGACAAUCACAUUACCAUCUUAUUCUCUUCAUAUCAAGUUACCAUCAAUAUAAACGAUAUACUUCCAGUAAUUGACUCUUAAUUAGAAAAUCCAAAGGGACACUUUAGCAGCAAAUAUUGGAAAUCCAAACUAAAUUACACUUGUUGCUUUACUGUACAGCUGUCACAAUUUGCGGUUAGAAGACUUAAGGUUGAUAUCUCGAGUGGAGAGCCAAACCUUCUGCCCCGGUGAGUACGAUGGCGCUGGCCGUCUCUUUCAGUCCGCCCAUCUCC